rnacentral:tRNA from 1 species
GCCGGAAUAGCUCAGUUGGGAGAGCGAUAGACUGAAGGUAUAUACAUGCUGAAAUCUAAAGGCCCCCGGUUCAAUCCCGGGUUCCGGCA